rnacentral:rRNA from 1 species
AUUGAACGCUGGCGGCAUGCCUAACACAUGCAAGUCGAACGAGACGCGGGCGGGUGAGUAAGGUCUGGGAAACUGCCCGAGGGAGGGGGAUACCUACUGGAAACGGUAGCUACUACCGCACAGCAUCGGAGGUGCCCAGAUGGGAUUAGCUAGUGGGUGGGGUAACGUCUCACCUAGGCGACGAUCCCUAGCUGGUGUGAGAGGAUGACCAGCCACACUGGGACUGAGACACGGUCCAGACUCCUACGGGAGGCAGCAGUGGGGAAUAUUGGCCAAUGGGCGCAAGCCUGAUGCAGCCAGGCCGCGUGUAUGAAGAAGGCCUUCGGGUUGUAAAGUACUUUCAGCGAGGAGGCGUUACUCGACUAGAAAGCACCGGCUAACUCCGUGCCAGCAGCCGCGGUAAUAC